rnacentral:rRNA from 1 species
GGUUGAUCCUGCCGGAGGUCACUGCUAUUGGGAUCCGACUAAGCCAUGCGAGUCGAGAGGGUUCGGCCCUCGGCAGACGGCUCAGUAACACGUGGAUAAUCUGCCCUUAGGUGGAGGAUAACCUCGGGAAACUGAGAAUAAUACUCCAUAGAUCUUGGAUGUUGGAAUGCACUUAGAUUGAAAGUUCCGACGCCUAAGGAUGAGUCUGCGGACUAUCAGGUAGUAGUUAGGGUAAAGACCUAACUAGCCUACGACGGAUACGGGUUGUGAGAGCAAUAACCCGGAGACGAUAUCUGAGACACGAUAUCGGGCCCUACGGGGCGCAGCAGGCGCGAAACCUUCACAAUGUGCGAAAGCACGAUGAGGGGAUCCCAAGUGCUUGCUCGUAAGAGUAAGCUGU